UUUCGUCAUGGUAAAAUCUAUUUCCCCAGCAGCCUGUGGGCGCUAGUGUCAGAAUUGUCUAUUUCCCCCCGGCAGCAAAAAGGGCACUGUGCCCUUUGCGAAGCCUGUGCUGCACAGACAGACGAAUUAAAUGUGUAUUUAAUACCUAAUCUGUAUUACUUUAAACAGAUGUCGAUUUCGGAUGGCUGCACUUUUCUGCACUGGUGCAAUUGCCCCGAGAAAAAGUUGUUCGAGUGGUAAUCUUAGUGCAAUCCACUUUUUCGGUGCAUCGAAUUUGUACGUUCCAGUGGCACUCCAGCACCGCCCGAGGUCACUCGAAAACUGCACUUUCUUGCCCGACCUUUUUAGUCAGUGCAAGCGGUGCAGUGCAAUUUCUAGCAGACGAAUUUAGAGAGUGUGUUGUUUAGUGAUAGGAGCCUUUUUUUCUUUCGUCUGCUACUUCCUCCAGGGCGUAAAAAGUGAAAAAAGUGUUCGAGUGUAACGUUUAUUUUCUGACAACCCGGUGGAGUGCAUGACGUCACACGACCCUUCUCGCUCCGAGCCAGUGUGCACUGGCUACUGCACCGAGUGCAGCCAUCCGAAAUCGACAAGAGUCAUAGAACCCUGGUUGGUUCACGCUGAGAGGAAUCCCUAUACCGCGUUUCGUUGGUCUGUAUGUCAAAAGUUUUGACGGUUUUGGGGCGGGGCACAGUCGUGGAAACUCGAAUCAGAGUCAUCUAUUGAAAGAAACUGAGUUAUUCAACGGCCAUUGUUGGUGUUUCUUUUCGUACUUAAAUUUUUCAGAAGUCGUCUGCUCCGUUGGUUUCCCUUAUCACUGUUGUGAAUUGUGAUUGGCUGUUGAAGUUUUCAAGCACGUUUCCUGAUUGGUACAUUCAUCACACACCCGCUGGAGGCUCUGACUGCUAUUUCCGAAAUUAGACACAACAACAGACGAUUUUCCACAUGUGAACCAACCAGGUUUCCAUGACGACUCCGUAGCAUCCACCUGAUUGUGUUCACUGAUUCAGGUGUGAAAUAGCUAUUUAAACACCAACUCCCCUAUUGGCCGGGGGGAAAUAGACAAUUUUGACACUAGCGCCCACCGACUGCCGGGGGGAAAUAGAUUUUACCAUAUUUUCCUGCUUCUUGGAACAAAGAACAUAGGAUGUCUUGAUGCCAACUAAGUGUCAUUGGAAAAAUUGUAAAAAGAUGUUUAAGCAGAAAAAACCUAAAGUUGGAGGAUGAUACAUUUGUAUCUCAUUACUAGUUUUGUAAAACAAAUGGCAUAUUGGUAAAAUGAAACAACACAUGGCCUAUUACUUUUGAUCAAUUGUUUUCACAAGUGAAGAUUGAUUCCACAAUCUUCAGGUUCCCAGACAGACAACCAUCUACAAAGCCUUGGGAAAUUUAUUAAUACAAAAAAAUUAAAUUUUA